rnacentral:rRNA from 1 species
UGGCUAACUCCUACGGGAGGCAGCAGUGGGGAAUUUUGGACAAUGGGGGCAACUCUGAUCCAGCAAUGCCGCGUGAGUGAAGAAGGCCUUCGGGUUGUAAAGCUCUUUUGUCAGGGAAGAAACGGUAGUAGCUAAUAUCUAUUACUAAUGACGGUACCUGAAGAAUAAGCACCGGCUAACUACGUGCCAGCAGCCGCGGUAAUACGUAGGGUGCAAGCGUUAAUCGGAAUUACUGGGCGUAAAGCGUGCGCAGGCGGUUGUGUAAGUCAGAUGUGAAAUCCCCGGGCUCAACCUCGGAAUUGCAUUUGAGACUGCACGGCUAGAGUGUAGCAGAGGGGGGUAGAACUCCACGUGUAGCAGUGAAAUGUGUAGAUAGGUGGAGGAAUACCGAUGGCGAAGGCAGCCUCCUGGGAUAACACUGACGCUCAUGCACGAAAGCGUGGGGAGCAAACAGGAUUAGAUACCCCGGUAGUCCAGCUGG